GCUCAAUACUUGCUAAGAAUAUAUUUGCGUAUAUAUUUUAUGGGAAUCAAGAGCAGAAAAAACAUAAUUAGAAGGAAUUUGAGUCUAUGUCUACAUCUCUAGCUGUAUGCUUUCUGUUCUGCCAGGCCUUUUGAAGGAGUGAUUUUCUUUCUUCCUUCUGUGUUCCCUUGGUGCAGUUUUUGCACACUGAGAUGUACUUGUCUGUUAGAUGGGGAGCUGAAAGCAGCAAUGCGGCUGCAAGGAUUGGCAGAAGGGAGCUGCUUCAAGGCUCUGAUUAAACGAAGCUGCUGCAACACACUGCAGUUGGAAAAGGUUGUUUAGUAUUGGAGGAUGAUUCUGGGAUUCUUUCCAGCUGGCUAUAUCUUUGAGUACCUCCAAUACAUGUGGUCUUUCUUACAUGGAACUGAGUUGCAAUGGAUGUAGGGAAAGAACCUUGUGAAACACCUCUGCUGCCCCAUGGAUAAUUUGCACUGUGAUUAUAUGCCUUGGAGAUCAAACUUAAUUUUUACACUGCAGAUGUCCCAACAUAAACUGUACUUCCCAAGAGUUUCUGCAUUACUUUAUCACCUUUUGAAUGGCUCCACUUGUCCAAGUCCUGCAACUCCUACAAUAUACCUGGCUAGUAAUUACUUAUUUCCAAGGGGAUAAAGAACUACUGGUAAGCAGA